AGUGAACGCUGGCGGUAGGCCUAACACAUGCAAGUCGAACGGCAGCACAGUAAGAGCUUGCUCUUACGGGUGGCGAGUGGCGGACGGGUGAGGAAUACAUCGGAAUCUACUUUUUCGUGGGGGAUAACGUAGGGAAACCUACGCUAAUACCGCAUACGACCUACGGGUGAAAGCAUGGGAUCUUCGGACCUUGCGCGAUUGAAUGAGCCGAUGUCGGAUUAGCUAGUUGGCGGGGUAAAGGCCCACCAAGGCGACGAUCCGUAGCUGGUCUGAGAGGAUGAUCAGCCACACUGGAACUGAGACACGGUCCAGACUCCUACGGGAGGCAGCAGUGGGGAAUAUUGGACAAUGGGCGCAAGCCUGAUCCAGCCAUGCCGCGUGGGUGAAGAAGGCCUUCGGGUUGUAAAGCCCUUUUGUUGGGAAAGAAAAGCAGCAGGUUAAUACCCCGCUGUUCUGACGGUACCCAAAGAAUAAGCACCGGCUAACUUCGUG
rnacentral:rRNA from 1 species